AUUGAACGCUGGCGGCAGGCCUAACACAUGCAAGUCGAGCGGAUGAAGGGAGCUUGCUCCUGGAUUCAGCGGCGGACGGGUGAGUAAUGCCUAGGAAUCUGCCUGGUAGUGGGGGAUAACGUCCGGAAACGGGCGCUAAUACCGCAUACGUCCUGAGGGAGAAAGUGGGGGAUCUUCGGACCUCACGCUAUCAGAUGAGCCUAGGUCGGAUUAGCUAGUUGGUGGGGUAAAGGCCUACCAAGGCGACGAUCCGUAACUGGUCUGAGAGGAUGAUCAGUCACACUGGAACUGAGACACGGUCCAGACUCCUACGGGAGGCAGCAGUGGGGAAUAUUGGCCAAUGGGCGAAAGCCUGAUCCAGCCAUGCCGCGUGUGCGAAGAAGGUCUUCGGAUUGUAAAGCACUUUAAGUUGGGAGGAAGGGCAGUAAGUUAAUACCUUGCUGUUUUGACGUUACCAACAGAAUAAGCACCGGCUAACUUCGUG
rnacentral:rRNA from 1 species